GCUUACGACCAUACCUCGUUGAGAACACGGCAUCCCGUCCGAUCUGCCAAGUUAAGCAACGAUGGGCCCGGUUAGUACUUGGAUCGGAGACGGCUUGGGAAUCCCGGGUGUUGUAAGCACUU
rnacentral:rRNA from 1 species